GACGAACGCUGGCGGCGUGCUUAACACAUGCAAGUCGAACGGAAAGGCCCUGCUUUUGUGGGGUGCUCGAGUGGCGAACGGGUGAGUAACACGUGAGUAACCUGCCCUUGACUUUGGGAUAACUUCAGGAAACUGGGGCUAAUACCGGAUAGGAGCUCCUGCUGCAUGGUGGGGGGUGGAAAGUUUCGGCGGUUGGGGAUGGACUCGCGGCUUAUCAGCUUGUUGGUGGGGUAGUGGCUUACCGAGGCUUUGACGGGUAGCCGGCCUGAGAGGGUGACCGGCCACAUUGGGACUGAGAUACGGCCCAGACUCCUACGGGAGGCAGCAGUGGGGAAUAUUGCACAAUGGGCGGAAGCCUGAUGCAGCAACGCCGCGUGCGGGAUGACGGCCUUCGGGUUGUAAACUGCUUUCGCCUGUGACGAAGCGUGAGUGACGGUAAUGGGUAAAGAAGCACCGGCUAACUACGUG
rnacentral:rRNA from 1 species